AUCAAUCAGCAGAGUCUGGUGAAUCCUUUUUAAGGAGCACUCAGACGACACAGAAGCAGUGAAUCUACUGUUGGAGAAAUGGCUGGACUCUGUGAGCUGUCUGUGAGGCUGUCAUGGAUUGCAUGCUUGCUGAUCGGCAGUAUAACUUGUCUCCCUGCACCUAAAGGUCAUGGCUCAAACAGUCCUGCUCAAGCAGCUGGUUAUGUGGGCUGGCAGUUGCCUUAUGGUGGUUCUGGUUCUGCUUCUGGGUAUGACAGUGGAUACAGUACGCAGGUGUAGGCUCGGUCGGUGAGGUCUAUUACUCCAGCUCCGAGUCCACAGAGGGUGACGGUGCUGGAGCCACUGAAGUUGAGAGUGAAGCUGUUGUGGAUGAGGAAGUCCCUGAGCCUGUCCUCAGUGACGUGUCCGACUUGGAACCAAUCUACUCGUUCAGAUCUCGCUCCAGCUACCAGCACGGAAGAGCCACCUUCUCCCAAACCCGCUACACUCCUGGAGGGGUUGUGUUCCCGCCUCUACCAGCUGUCCCGAGCAAACAACCCGCCAGAGAUCCAUCCAAAGGAGGCCACUGAGCUUCUUGAGAGAUCCAUCCAUCCUCAGAUUGUGGCCUCAUGAUGCAUCUUGAAAAAAAUAAAGCUAUGCUUAUCUGA